rnacentral:lncRNA from 1 species
GGAGAAUGAUCGAGUGAGCUUGAAAAUAUGGGCGGAGCUUUCGGGCAGUAAUGAGGAGGGCGUAAGCCAGCUUUUCGAGCUUUGAAUAACGGGUCUCUGUGUUCCUCAAAGUUUGGCUGAUAUAGUAUAUCAGCUUUUGGACCCCAUCUUGUUCUUGGACCAGUACUGUGCUCAUCACUGUGGGAGAGAUAGAUAAGUAUAAAAAUAGUUCUUCAUCUAGAUCAAGCUUAUCAAGCAGUGGGGCCGAACUGAGAUAGCUUUUCAAGUUAGCGAAGGCUUUCUGGCACUCAUC